rnacentral:misc_RNA from 1 species
GAUGAAGAACGUAGUGAAAUGCGAUACGUAAUGUGAAUUGCAGAAUUCAGUGAAUCAUCGAGGCUUUGAACGCACAUUGCGCCCCCUGGUAUUCCGGGGGGCAUGCCUGUCCGAGCGUCAUUGCUGCCCUCAAGCACGGCUUGUGUGUUGGGCCUCCGUCCUCCUCCCGGGGGACGGGCCCGAAAGGCAGCGGCGGCACCGCGUCCGGUCCUCGAGCGUAUGGGGCUUCGUCACCCGCUCUUGUAGGCCCGGCCGGCGCUUGCCGACACAUCAAUCUUUUUUCCAGGUUGACCUCGGAUCAGGUAGGGAUACCCGCUGAACUUAAGCAUACAAUAAGCGGAGGA